rnacentral:lncRNA from 1 species
UUUAAUAAAAUGAGGCCCAAUUUAAUUAUAACAAUGACUCAACUUUAACUAAUGAGUCAGCCCAAUUAAAGUAAUAAAAAUCGGCCCAGAUUCAAAGAAAUAGAAUCGGGCCAAGAAUUUAAAUAAAACAAGUAGAAAGCCUAUCAGCUAAGGCCCAACAGUCCAGCCCAAACCUAACCACUUAUUCUUCUUCUCAAACACCCCGCUCGUCCCUCUCAUUCUGUUCACAAAGUCCGCCCACACAACUUGCACAAAUCCGCUCACACGCAGAGCCAUGACACCCUAUCCUUCUAGGCCUUUGGCGAAGUGGCAGCAAGGAGCCACCACUCCCCCGCCUCCUUUGAAACUCCGGCGCACAGCAGCAACACGCCGCUGUCACCACUUAACUCUCAACCCCGACUCCCUUGUCUCUCCUCCGACUGACAGCGCCGCUGGAGCCCUAGGCCUCAAUCGCUACCUCCCUCGUUUUCCGGCGAUAGCGGAACCGCUGCUGGCAGCAACAGCCACCGCAUCCUCCAUCCCUCUGCAAACCAGACACACACUCUCCCUCAUCUUCCGCCCUUGACCGGGCAGCAGCGGCGGGGCCGCCGUGCCGUGGCCCCCUCUGUCUCUCUUCUCCCCAGUCGGUAGCAGGCCCCACCACCGACCGUCCCCAGUCUCGACUCACACACAUACACAGAGGCAGCAACCCGACUCCAGACGGCUCCAAAGUUAGAAGUUCAGCAGCAGUUGAACACCAAGCUAAAGUUCAAAACUUCUUUCUUUCAUUGUAAAAACAUUUCAUGCGUAUGUAUAUAUGAGAGAUAGUAUGAUGAUGUGUGCUUGUACCAAAUAUUAAUAAAAAAAAUGACAUGUUAUGGGAUGCAGUGAAUUUGAAAAGUGGG